rnacentral:pre_miRNA from 16 species
UGGUCUUUACGUUGAUUGUACUUCAUCAGGUGCUCUGGUAGUUCUUAAAUCCAGGCAUCUGGUGUAGUACUAUUAAUCUAAGAUCU